AAUGCCCUGUGAAACCCAGCAACCUAAACAAUAAUUCAUUAUGUGUUUAAGGUGCUAAGUCAUGCAGAACAACUAAUUGUUCUGAAAGAUGAGAAGGAAGUUAGUCCAUUUGAAAAAAUGCUGCCUUUCUGCUCAUCAGCAGAAAGGCUUUUUUGUA
rnacentral:sRNA from 1 species